rnacentral:rRNA from 1 species
UACGGGGGGGGCCAGCGUUGUUCGGAAUUAUUGGGCGUAAAGGGCGCGUAGGCGGCGUGGUGAGUCAGUUGUGAAAUCCCUCGGCUCAACCGAGGAAUUGCGUCUGAGACUGCCAUGCUUGAGUCCCGGAGAGGGUAGCGGAAUUCCCAGUGUAGCGGUGAAAUGCGUAGAUAUUGGGAGGAACACCAGUGGCGAAGGCGGCUACCUGGACGGGCACUGACGCUGAGGCGCGAAAGCCAGGGGAGCAAACGGG